CCGGGUUUCUAAGGCAGACAAGGCCAAUACAGAGCAUUCAGGAAUUCACAAAAUUGACAUCUAAGAGCCUGACCCAUAUCCACGCCCUUUGGCAGACAGUGCUUCUGUGAACUUGUGGAGUUUAGAAGAAUGGACCUCACUUCCUCAGCUGUUCAUCUUUCUGCUCAUGCCUACCAUUAUGGAGAAGACAGACAGGAGCAGAGCUGCCAUAGGUAGAGCAGAAGGAGAGCUGUCCAUCUGCUGAGAAUCUCCAGUGUUCCCUGGUGCAGCCCCACCCAGACUCCAAGGCCUAGUACUCCUCCUACUCCGUGGGUCCUGGGAUGGAUCUCUCAGGUUGCCAGGCCUGGCAGCAUCGCAGGGACUGCUUUGUCCUAUCAGCAACGAGAUUAUUUACUUACAAAAGCACCUUGCAACACUCUCCUGUCAGUCUGACACUAUACAGGGAACUCUGGAAUUGAGCAGCAAAUUCAGCGGAGUGCUGCAAACCGAAGGCACUGAGUUAGAAAUGCCAUUU
rnacentral:lncRNA from 1 species